rnacentral:rRNA from 1 species
CCUACGGGGGGCUGCAGUGAGGAAUAUUGGUCAAUGGACGAGAGUCUGAACCAGCCAAGUAGCGUGAAGGAUGACUGCCCUAUGGGUUGUAAACUUCUUUUAUAAAGGAAUAAAACGAGGCACGUGUGCCCUUUUGCAUGUACUUUAUGAAUAAGGAUCGGCUAACUCCGGGCCAGCAGCCGCGGUAAUACGGAGGAUCCGAGCGUUAUCCGGAUUUAUUGGGGUUAAAGGGAGCGUAGAUGGGUUGUUAAGUCAGUUGUGAAAGUUUGCGGCUCAACCGUAAAAUUGCAAUUGAUACUGGCAGUCUUGAGUACAGUUGAGGUAGGCGGAAUUCGUGGUGUAGCGGUGAAAUGCUUAGAUAUCACGAAGAACCCCGAUUGCGAAGGCAGCUUACUAAACUGUGACUGACAUUGAUGCUCGAAAGUGUGGGUAUCAAACAGGAUUAGAUACCCCUGUAGUC